rnacentral:rRNA from 1 species
CCUACGGGUGGCUGCAGUGAGGAAUAUUGGUCAAUGGACGAGAGUCUGAACCAGCCAAGUAGCGUGAAGGAUGACUGCCCUAUGGGUUGUAAACUUCUUUUAUAUGGGAAUAAAACGUUCCAUGUGUGGGAUUUUGUAUGUACCAUAUGAAUAAGGAUCGGCUAACUCCGUGCCAGCAGCCGCGGUAAUACGGAGGAUCCGAGCGUUAUCCGGAUUUAUUGGGUUUAACGGGAGCGUAGGUGGUUUGUUAAGUCAGUUGUGAAAGUUUGCGGCUCAACCGUAAAAUUGCAGUUGAAACUGGCAGUCUUGAGUACAGUAGAGGUGGGCGGAAGUCGUGGUGUAGCGGUGAAAUGCUUAGAUAUCACGAAGAACUCCGAUUGCGAAGGCAGUUCACUGGACUGCAACUGACACUGAGGCUCGAAAGUGUGGGUAUCAAACAGGAUUAGAUACCCUAGUAGUC